rnacentral:misc_RNA from 1 species
CUUUGUUGUCUUGUUGACAUGAGGUUAUGUUUACAUGGUAACACAAUGGAAGUUCCUUUAUAACUAAGUGGAGGAUUUUUUAUUCACAUUUAUUCAGUCAGACUAUUUUUAUUCAAACAUCAGAAUUGAUAAGAAUAUUAAUAUUGAUCAUUGCGUUGAUUAAAGUUAGGUUUUUGGCAUGGAUGCAUUCGGAUUCUCACCAAGUCAUAAGGCUCCUCCUCGGAAAGGUCGUAGAGCCGCCAAUGCAAGCAGUGGUUCAAAUGUGACUGCUGAAGAUGCAACCAAUUCCGACGAAAUUGAAAGUCCCAAGUCAAACUCAACUCCUCAACAGUCACUCAGUCCGGAUCCAUCAGCACCACCAAGAUCUCGUAAAACAGGAGGUUGGGCCGAGGAAUUGACUAAAUCUGGGAAGUUUCGAGCGAAUUCCAUUAAUCUCAUUGAGCAGGAAAGGUUUCAAUCUCCAGAGAAGGCUGAGUCUGAUGAUGAUAUUCCGUUGAUUCCUGACUUGGAUGAGUUGCAGGACGAAGAAAACAUAUCAGAAAUUGCCAGAGCUCCUUCAGUGGGAGGCAAACGAGUGGCAUCUUUCUCAGAGCUGGACUCUGAUUUGCUGAAGAAGUCGGCCCUCUCCACUCUGGACAACGACAUCAACCUCACACUGCUCAGCUCCCAUCUCCAGCCCGAGGAGCAUGUCAAAGAAGUGGACUCGACUUGGACAUGGGAUCUGUUAUUCACAGAGGUCGCUUCUGACCUCCGCACCGAAUGGGAGAAUCAGGCUGCUAAACCUCAAACUAUGAACUCACAGCACUAAACUUGAAUAAAAUAAUAGAAAACACUAUUUAGAAAAACACGUACAAUAAUUUAGAAAUAACUUUACAAAAUUAACUAAAAUAUAGAAAAUAAUAAAUAGUGACCACCAUAUUAUCUGCUCUAAAUAAUAAUAUAUCGGUACUCAGGAGAUAUACUAUACUCUUUUACACUCAGAAAAUGUUUUUAAUAAGAAACGUUGGUUGGUUAUGCUUUCCAGUUAACAACUGAAUUUUGCAGAAAAUGUGGUCCUUCAAUUUAAUUAAAGAAACAGGGUAAUCAGCCUUGUUGUCCCUCAAUAUGAUUGAAUCGAGAAAGUCAUUUUGUUGGUUCUGUGUACAGUUUUUCAAUCUAGUUUUAAUCACUAUACUUUUGUGAUAUUUAUUCCGUCCAGAUCUUUUUAAUAGUGCUAGUGAUAUUUCAAUAGGAUAGACUAUCAAAUUUAAGAUGCACUGCUUACAUAUCUAGUUUUAGUUUUAGUCCUUAGGUACUAUUUCCUUAGUCCGUCCAAUGUUUUAGUUCUUAGUCCUUAGAAACAAUGUUUGAAAAACAUGAUGCUAAAGAAUUAUAUCACUGUUAUUAAAGAAAAAUCGGUCCAAUAAAGCUCAAAAUUACUAUUC